rnacentral:rRNA from 1 species
UACGGGGGGGGCAAGCGUUGUUCGGAAUUACUGGGCGUAAAGGGCGCGUAGGCGGCCUGCUAAGUCGGACGUGAAAUCCCUCGGCUCAACCGGGGAACUGCGUCCGAUACUGGCGAGGCUUGAAUCCGGGAGAGGGAUGUGGAAUUCCAGGUGUAGCGGUGAAAUGCGUAGAUAUCUGGAGGAACACCGGUGGCGAAGGCGGCAUCCUGGACCGACAUUGACGCUGAGGCGCGAAAGCCAGGGGAGCAAACGGG